GGGCCCGUAGCUCAGUUGGUUAGAGCAGGGGACUCAUAAUCCCUUGGUCGGGGGUUCGAGUCCCUCCGGGCCUA
rnacentral:tRNA from 1 species